ensembl:lncRNA
CCCUACUCCCAGAAAUCCGUAUGUCUACACUCAGGUCUCUACUGGUUAGGGAUUAAGAGUGAGUCAGCAGGAGUCAAACAGGUGGUUCCAGCAAGAUUUCCUCUUUCCCUCAGAAAGCCUAUCUGAUUUUAUUGUGGAAGACUUCAUUUAGCAGAGAUUUUCACUUUAGAGAAACUUAAAAAACAUCCCCCCCUGUGUUGAAUGAGAGACCUCUACACUGAGGAGGGGAUAUGAAUAUGCGCGUAAGCAACAGAA